rnacentral:rRNA from 1 species
GAUGAACGCUGGCGGCGUGCCUAAUACAUGCAAGUCGAGCGAACGGACGAGAAACUUGCUUCUCUGAUGUUAGCGUCGGAAGGGUGAGUAAAACGUGGAUAAAAUACCUAUAAGACUGGGAUAAAUUCGGGGAACAGGAGCUAAUACCGGAUAAUAUUUUGAACCGCAUGGUUCAGAAGUGAAAGACGGUCUUGCUGUCACUUAUAGAUGGAUCCGAGCUGCAUUAGCUAGUUGGUAAGGUAACGGCUUACCAAGGCAACGAUGGAUAGCCGACCUGGGAGGGGGAUCGGCCACACUGGAACUGGAACACGGCCCAGCCUCUUACGGGGGGCACCGGGGGGGAAUCUUCCGCAAUGGGGCAAAGCCGAACGGGGCAACCCCCGGGGGGGAAUUAAGGUCUUGGGAUCGUAAAACCCUUUUAUUAGGGAAAAACAUCUUCUUAAGAAAAUGGGGACAGCUUGACGGUACCUAAACAGAAAGCCACGGCUAACUACGUG